rnacentral:rRNA from 1 species
UAAGGGAUAUUGCGCCAAUGGGCGAAAGCCUGACGCAGCAACGCCGCGUGCGGGAAGAAGGCCUUCGGGUUGUAAACCGCUUUGAGAGGGGAAGAGGCAGGACGGUACCCUCGGAACAAGUCUCGGCUAACUACGUGCCAGCAGCCGCGGUAAAACGUAGGAGGCGAGCGUUAUCCGGAGUUACUGGGUGUAAAGGGCGUGUAGGCGGCUGAGCAAGUCGUAUGUGAAAGCGCUCAGGCUCAACCGGGCGAGGACAUGCGAGACUGCUUAGCUAGAGGCAGGUAGAGGCGCGUGGAAUUCCGGGUGUAGUGGUGAAAUGCGUAGAGAUCCGGAGGAACACCAGUGGCGAAGGCGGCGCGCUGGGCCUGACCUGACGCUGAGGCGCGAAAGCAUGGGGAGCGAACG